GCUGGGCGUGGUGGCGCGUGCCUGUAGUCCCAGCUACUUGAGAGGCUGAGGUGGGAGGAUUGCUUGAGCCCAGGAGUUCUGGGCUGUAGUGUGCUAUGCUGAUCGGGUGUCCGCACUAAGUUCGGCAUCAAUAUGGUGACCUCCCGGGAGCGGGGGACCACCAGGUUGCCUAAGGAGUGGGGAACCGGCCCAGGUCGGAAACGGUGCAAGUCAAAAUUCCCCUGCUGAUCAGUAGUGGGAUCGCACCUGUAAAUAGUCACUGCACUCCAGCCUGGGCAACAUAUCGAGACCUUGUCUCU
rnacentral:SRP_RNA from 1 species